rnacentral:rRNA from 1 species
AUUGAACGCCGGCGGCAGGCCUAACACAUGCAAGUCGAGCGGAUGAAGGGAGCUUGCUCCUGGAUUCAGCGGCGGACGGGUGAGUAAUGCCUAGGAAUCUGCCUGGUAGUGGGGGAUAACGUCCGGAAACGGGCGCUAAUACCGCAUACGUCCUGAGGGAGAAAGUGGGGGAUCUUCGGACCUCACGCUAUCAGAUGAGCCUAGGUCGGAUUAGCUAGUUGGUGGGGUAAAGGCCUACCAAGGCGACGAUCCGUAACUGGUCUGAGAGGAUGAUCAGUCACACUGUAACUGAGACACGGUCCAGACUCCUACGGGAGGCAGCAGUGGGGAAUAUUGGACACUGGGCGAAAGCCUGAUCCAGCCAUGCCGCGUGUGUGAAGAAGGUCUUCGGAUUGUAAAGCACUUUAAGUUGGGAGGAAGGGCAGUAAGUUAAUACCUUGCUGUUUUGACGUUACCAACAGAAUAAGCACCGGCUAGCUUCGUG